rnacentral:rRNA from 1 species
AUGCACCCCCCAAGAUCAACGGUGGCUACCGACGAGGCGAUGAUAAACAUGAUCAACAACGGCGGCAUCCACGUGGACAGGCAAGUCGAUGACAACUACUCACCACAAUUGGAGCAAGAUACGCCAAUAGACACCCAACAAUUAUAUGUACCCAACGUAGACGCAAAUAAGAAGAGGGGUUUGUCGUACUCAAGCAAGAGGAUGAAUUGUUGUCUUUGGCAUGGGUGGGUACAAGUGUUGAUCCCUUCAAGGCACGGAGCAAAAAAGGCUCGGCUUUUUGGCAAAGUGUGCACGAUUGGUUUCAUGAGAAAAAGCAAUGUACCUCCACAACAAGGAAGUGAUUAA